rnacentral:lncRNA from 1 species
CAGCUUUCCAUUUCUCCAACUUAUCGUUAUUGUGCUUCAAAUUUCGCUUAUGUUUUGCAAAGGCUUGCUUGUAACUCCCGGUCUGCUUCCUCACAUGUGAUGGAUCUAUGUUGUAAAAAACUGGUAUCACAAUCUGUUCCAUAUAUUUCUUGCAUUCAAGAAUCUUUUUGAGCUCAUUCAAGCACCAUUUUGAGGAAGCAUAGUUUUCUGAGAAGAUGACAAUAGAUGCAUGUGACUCCUCAAUGGCUUUGAUGAGUGCUGCCGAGAUCUCAUCUCCUUUUUGAAGCUCAUUGUUGUCUAUAAAGGUUUCAACUUUCUUUCGGCUCAGAGCGUCGUAAAGAUGGCUAGUGAAGUUUCUGCGAGUAUCCUCACCUCGAAAGCUAAGAAAAACCUCAUAUUUUUUCUUAGGGACCACAUCAGAAGAAGAUACAGAGGAAAAAGCACUGCUCAUUUUCUCCUCGUGACGGUUAUGAAUUCCCAGGGCCUGUACUAAGCCACUAAUCACAAUGCUACAAUAAAAAAAAAAAGUAAUGUUUAUUGUGUUCUUGAUACUUUUGACCACACUCAUUCUCGUUGUAAUUAGAGAAACUAGUUGUUAAAUUAAAAUUAAGAAGAAAAAAGAUCAUACCAAAGUCAGAAUCAAGCUUCAUGCAAGAAGACUUUAAAGUCAUAAAUCCCAACAGUAGUAUGGCUUAGCUUCUGCUGGAAUCAAUUUUAGAUGAAAAUUAAUUAAGGAUAAACACACACAAACACUUCAUAUAGAUGUAAUGAUUCAAAAUUAAAAUAUAAAAUAGUAAGUGUGGUUUCGUGGUUAUCCUUCAAGGAAGUUUCGUGGUUUUAUUUUCAGUUUUUCUUUCUUCCUUUGAAUAGUUUCUUUAAAUAUUCAAAUGUGUACGUCGUGGUGUUCUUCAGAAGGUAUGGCCAUCACAUUAUUCUUUAUAACAACCAUAUAAAAAAAAAAAUGACAUUAUGAAUUUGUCAUCAUGUGUGGUCAGAUCAGAUGCAUAAUGUGUAAGACGCCGGCUGAAUAAAAUAUGGCAACAAGAGAAUAUUUAGACAAACAAUGAUGCACAUAAUAUAGUGUGAAUCUAAUUUCCUAUAUUAAACUAAAUAGUUGUUACAUAAGGUUCCAUUUCUUUCUAUUUGUUUUUUUACCAAUCAAAUUAAGUAACCUUUAAACAAAUAUCAUAUAUAGUUGAACCGUUGAAUCUUGAACCUUAUUCACAUGUUCAAUGGCUGGUCCAAUCAUUUGUUUAAUGGUUGGUCCAAUUUAGAAAAUAUUAAUGAAGACGGCCUGCUUUGAUAAAUUAUUUAUUUAAAAACUUAUUUAUAUCCUUUUUUACUAACAAGGAAUUGAGACGUAACCAAAAAAAAAACAAGGAAUUGAGAUGGCCCUCUUCCGAUCUCAUCCCAACCCCACCAAUGGCCAACUUUAAAGCUAUGUUUGGAUUGGUAGAGAGUGGUGGAAUGGAAUUGAAUGAAGUGGGAUAGAUUCACAUUCUAUUGUUUGGUUUUGUAAAAAAAGGAAUAGAAUGGAAUGUAGUGUAAUGGAACUCAUUGCAUCCAAUACCACCUAUUUAACCAAUUUUCCAGUUCCUCCCAAUUUGGGGUGUAUGCAAUGAAAAAACAACAAUCUUCCUAGUAAAUACUAUAAAACAACAAUCAUCACCAAUGGUGGAAAUUAAUCAACAAAAAUUGAAAAAGACUUCCAUAAAAAUGAGUGCCUCAAAAGUAACCUUCAAAAGAUUCAAUUGAUAAGCAAUAAUCCAGCUUAACAUUGAGCUUCUCAUACGUAGCAUUCCAAUUUAUUAUGUCUGAAUUACAAGCAAUCAGAAGUUGAGGACAAGCCUAUAGAAGCUCAAAUUUUUCUGAAUAAAACCAUACCCUACACCGAAUUAGGGCUCUAUGAAGCCUCUAAUACUCGAAACAAUCGAAGAAGCAUUGGGGCUCUAAGACUAAGAAGGAGAAGAUGAAAAGAAACUAGCUACAAAAUUAAAACAUAUGUUUUCAUUGAUUAAUUACAUUCCUAAAGAUACAACACACUUAUCCCCUCUGUUGAACACCACAAUUGUUCCUUGUGACCUUGAAGUAGAAAUUGAAAUGAUAAGUUGCAAAAAUCAUAAAUUUCACUAUCUUGUCUGUUGUGAACAUGCCAGCAUACCAGUACAUAAUCAGAAAUGAAUGUCCCAAGAUAACUGUCACUAAUACAACGUAUGUCGGCUUCUUUUCCGUUUUCAAAGAUAAUACAGUGAACGGCAUCAGGGGCGGUUCUAAGGCCCGGCGACCCCCGGCUCCGGGCCAAAUUUUUUGUGUAAAUCCCUAUGAAUUUCUUAUAUAAACCCCUAUAAAUUGGGCAAUUUCUUUACAUUUUUUAUUAUUUGCUUGCAAUUUCUUAUGUACGCCCUAUAAAUGUGUUGCAAAAAAAUUUUCCGCCCAGGCUUUACAAUAUUCCUGGCUCCGCCACUGAACGGCAUGGUGGUAAACAUUAAAGCCCUCAGAAAGAAUGAUGGAAAAUAUAAAACUGCACAAAUCAGAUUUUGGAAUAGGAGGAAUAAUUAUUGAAGCCUCUAUUGUCUGAAAAUCAAACAUGCAUGCAAUGGAGUCUUCAGAGAAGGUUUGUAACAUGUUAUUAAAAAAUGACGGUUGAAUGGAGUAUGUGUCCAGAUAACUGCAAUUAACGGCAGGGAUGGUGGAAGCUCUGUUAGAGACACAAUUUUCCUGCAAUCAUCUAAAUCAAGCCAUUCCCAACAUUGAAUGGUUUUGGAUAUUGUCGGGGAGAACAUCUAAGUUGCAACACUCUUUCAAUUUUAGCCGUUUUAAAGACUAUAUACCAUCGAGGAUGGACCACAGACUUAAUGCAUCGAUUUCUGUGCACCCUGAAAGGUCUAGUUCGGUAACAAACCCAAGCCCAUGAUCAUCUGAUAACUUCUUCCCAACAGUGUUGAGCUUGUUACACUCAGUUAGACCAAGAGAAGUAAGUUUGCAAUUACGCCAAAUCGAUAAAGAUAAUUCACGUAUAGCAGUGCCAUGUAAGGAUAACUCUGUCAUUUCCUCUGAUGUCACCGAAAAUUCCAUGAGGGAUGAACAACCAUCAACUAAGAGAGAUUUUGAAUGAAAAUUGGUUUUUAGGCUAUGACUCAUGCAAAUCUCUACAAGCAUUUCAGCACAAAAGGUUGAUGGCAAAGAUUCAAGACAGUAUCCAUCCCAUCGAAGGUACCUCAAUUUAUCAGAAAUCCACUCAAGACCAUCGGGAAAGUACACAUUGCAUGUGCUCCCAUCAGAUAUAUUAUAGAUUUUAAGAUAUCUUAUAUUUUUCAUCCUUCUAAAGGAAUCAGACUUCAAUAAAGAUCCCCAACAUCUGUACAAUGGAACGUUAUACCUUCCACAGCUUCAGUUCCCUAAUAAAAACAUUUUUUUUUAAUAAUUAGGAAUGGUUCCCUGAUGAACUUUCCUUGUUAUAUUUCCCUGACGCAUUUUUGUUAUAAUUAGGAAUUGCAAACUCUAUUACCUUGUUGUUUUUCAAUAAUUCAGAUAUUUCUUCAGCCCUCCACAAUCUACUUCUUUUCCCAGGGUCUUUAGAUUCUUGAUUAACAAUCUCCCGACCCAUUUCUUGUAACAAAACAUGCAUUUCUAUUGUAUCAACAUCCAGAUUUACAUGCCAAAUAAGUUUUAGUUCUAUGAGAGCUUUAUCUAGAAGGACUUCUAUCCCAAUUGUUGCAAAGAAUCGACAAGCUUCCAAUACAUGUUUUACAAAAUCUUUAUGCUCUUCUCUCAACAAGCAUGCGAUAUCUAGAAAUAUGGCCUUUUGACAACAAUCUAAGUCAUCAUAACUCAAUUUUAACACAUUAAAAAUUUUCCUAUUGGGAAUCUUUUGGAGCAUUUUCAAUUCAUUGUCCCAUGCUUCCUUGCUUCUUGAACUCGGAUUUGCACCUAAAACUUUUAUAGCCAGAGGAUUGCCUUUGCAAUAGGCAAUUACACUCUCUGAUAGAUCUUCAUAUCCAAUUUUAGGAUGUUUUUCUCCGAAGAUAGUCAAACUCAAUAGUUGAAGAGAAUCAUGUUUGUUCAAUUCCUUAACCUCACAUAUUUGCACAUUUUGUGAAUUGACUAAAUAUGUGUUUAUAUCUAGUUGUAAUAAUGACCCCACUACCCGGUGCCAGUCCAUCAAUUUUUAGCAUAAGAUCUUCUAUUUGCUCUACAGUUUCUCUACACUAUCCAGCACAAUGUAAAAUUCUUUACGUGCAAUCCUUCUCACAGAGAAAGGGGUUUCUACGUGCAAUAAUUCUCACUCUGUUUUUUUAUUUUUUUAUUUUUUUUUCUUCUUUCUAAUCCUUUGAAUAUCUCCAGGUUCUUACUUUAUUGAAGGAAAUGUAACAUGAAGAAAAUAUAAGGAAAUGUAACAUGAAGCAAAAUUUGAGGAAAGAAAAGUUAGGCCUCAUCCUCAAGUAGUAGGAAUGUAGUCCAAUUUUGAUGGCAAAUUACACCCUAUUUCCAUUAACUUUUCAUCGGUAAGAACCAUGUCAUGGACGAGUCUUCAGAUAAGCAGAGACUUUGAGGGAGGAAUAUCUUUGCUCCAAAGUAGGAGCAAUGUGUUUUUUAAAAGAAUAAGUAUCUUUUAAAAGCUAAAUUUCCAUCAGAGGUUCUUUUCCAAAUCAAAGAAUCUUCACAGUCUUCAUCAGGAAUAGUUGCAGCACAAGCAAGCUAAUAGUAGGGAACAUCAACAGGACAUCACGAAGAAUGUUCCAGUGAAAAUUGGUGAAAUAGUAUUAGUCAGACACUUUUGAAGGGAAAGUGUUGAUAAAUAUAUUUUUCCUUAUAAAUAUAAAAAUAAAUAUUUGUCACCGAUACAAUAAAAAAAAUACACAAGACAAAUAUUCAUAAAAAAUUGGAUUAUUAUUUUUCAUUGAUAAACAAUCUAUGACACAAGAUAUAAACGGAGAAAUAAUUGUCACUAUUAAGCAGUAGUAAUUGACACAAGAUAUAAAUACUUUCAUGUACUUGAAGCUGCUCAUUCUAACCAAGGAAUUUCACUACUUCAACACCAAUGUUGCUCAGAUUUGUUUGCAAACUCAUGCUUACUUUGCUCAGAACCCUUCUCAACAUCCUCUGACCCCUCCAUGAAGUUACAGAAGCAUCAUAGCUCGAUAUCAAACAGUCUAAUGCAUAAACAGAUAUUGCGAUGAAGUAUUGUGCGAGAAACAAUGAGACAGAAAACGUUUCUGACUAUUAUAAUUCUUUGGACCCUCGAUAAAAUACAGCCGGUCAUUAUUUUCUAGAAUCAUGAGAAUUUUAAAACAAUUCUUCAAUUGAAGGAUUUAAAUCUUUUAAUAAAAUAAGCUAAGGUGGAAGGUAUGAUUGAAAAAGUGGAAAUUAUAUAGUGCUACAAUCAAAAUAAUUAACGGCUACUAACUAGCAUAACCUCUAGGAAUUAGAAAGCUUCUGCCUUGUUUAAAGAUACAAACAUACAAUUACACAGACUUGGGUCUAAUUACUUGGCGCCUGCGUCUAACAGAAGGUUGUUCCUCUACUUUGUAAGAAUAAGAAGGUUGUUCCUGAUCAUCUUCAUUUUCAUUGUUAUAGCUUCUGCCUUCACCUCCAAUUGCUAUAGACACAUAAGAGUCUUGAGCAAUGGAUUUUAACUUACCAAUUUCCUUACUAAUGCUACUACCCCAAUAUUCCCAUACAGGUAAGACCCCACACCCCUUUAUCCCCUCCUUUGACCACCGUAAUUCUUCAUUGGGACCUUGAAGUAUGAAUUGAAAUGAUAAGUUGCAAAUAUCAUAACUUCCAUUUUCUUGUCUGUUGUAACCAUGCCAACAUAUCAAUGCAUGAUCUGAAAUUAAUGUCCCAAAAUAAUUGUGACUAAUGCGACGUCUGUUGACUUCUUUUCCGCGUUCAAAAAUAAUACAAUGAAGGGCAUGGUGGUUAAUAGUGAAGCCCUCAGAAAAAAGGAUGCGAAAUAUGAAACCACAUAAGACAGAUUUUUUAAUAGGAAGAAUAGUUAUUGAAGCCUCGAUUGUCUGAAAAUCAAAAAUUAUUGGAUCUUGUGCUCCUGGCAGGAAAGAGAAAGCAUUUAUCACACCUUCUUCAAUAGAAGGGUCUUCAAAGAUCUUUCGUACCAUGUUUUCAAGCAAUGACCAUUGUGUGGAAUCUGUGUCCAGAUAAGUGCAAUUAACAGCUUUAAAAUAUAACAGGGAUGGCGGAAGCUCUAUCAGAGUCACGAGGUUCCUGCAAUCAUCUAAUUCAAGCCAUUCUAGCAUUGAAUGGUUUUGGAUAUUCUCUGGGAGACUUUCUAAGUUGCAACACUCUUUCAAUUUUAGCUGUUUUAAAGAUUGUAUGCCAUCAAGGAUGGACCACAAACUUAAUGCAUUAAUUUCUGUGCACCCUGAAAGGUCUAGUUCCGUAACAAACCCAAGUCCAUGAUCAUCUGAUAACUUAUUCCCGACAAUGUUAAGCUUGUUACAUCCAGUUAGGUUAAUAACAGUCAUUUUGGUAUUACGCCAAAUUGAUGAAGACAAUUGAUGUAUAUCAGUGCCACAUAAGGAUAACUCUGUCAUUUCCUCCGAUGUCACUGAAAAUUCCAUGAGAGAUGAACAACCAUCAAGUUUAAGGUUUCGGAGAGAAUUUGAAUGAAUAUUGGUUUUAAGGCUUUCGAUCUUUAUGCAACCUCCUAAAUCUAGUACAAUAAGUCGAGGGAGAGAAAAGAUGUAUGGAUGGAGAUGACGCAGGCUUUCACAUUUAUAGAGAUGUACUUUUUCAAGAUUUGUAGCCCUAGAUAAGUUUGGGAUCUCAAUCAGAUCUUUGGAGUAAUUAAGGCUAAAUGUGAUUAGAUUCACAAGAUUCUGUAACAAGAAAUAAACAUGCAUUAGUGUCGAUUAAAAGAGAAACAAAACCUAGUUAAGAAUAAACAGAAGCAUGCCAUACUAACUCUGCUGCAUUUUUGUGAAUGACAUUAGACUUCCUCUUGUACCUCUAUAAAGUUAACAAGUACAUCCAAACAUUUUGUACCUGAACUCCAUCCCAGAGCUUUUUAAGCUUGCUAUGAGUCAUGUGAAGCUCUACAAGCAUUUCAGCACAAAAGUUUGAUGGAAAAGACUCAGGACAAUAUCCCUCCCAUUGAAGGUACCUCAAUUUAUCAGAAAGCCACUCGAGACCAUCAGGAAAAUGUACAUUGCAUAUGCUCCCGUUGGAUAUAUUAUGAAUCUUAAGAUAUCUUAAGUUUGUCAUCCUUCUAAAGGAAUCAGACUUCAAGUAUAGAUCCCCAACUUCCGUACUAUCGAAUAUUAUACCUUCCCCAACUUUAGUUCCCUGACAACGAAAAUUAGAUUAAUAAUUAGGAAAGGCUGUCAUAUGUACUUUCAUUGUUAUAUUUUAUAAUUACAUACAUAUAUUUUCAUAUAUAAGUGAUUGCAUCCUCUGCUUACCUUGUUUUCUUUUAAUAUAUCAGAUAUUUCUUUAGCUCUCCACAACCGACUUCGUUUUCCAGGGUUUAUAGAUUCUUGAUUAACAAUCUCCUGUCCCAUUUCUUGUAACAAAUCAUGUAUAUGUAAACUAUCAACUUCCAACUUGGCAUACGAGUGCCAAUUUGGUUUUACUUGUAUGAGAGCUUUAUCUAAAACGACUUCUAUCCCACUUUCUGCAAAGAACUCACAAGCUUCCAACAAAUCUAUUAUAAAUAUUUUAUGCUCUCCUCUCAAAAAGCAUGCAAUAUCUAAAAAUAUGGCCUGUUGAAAAAAAUCUAAGUCAUCAUAACUGAAUUUUAACACGAUAUAAAUUUUCCUAUUUGGAAUCUUUUCGAGCUUUUUCAAUUCAUUUUCCCAUGCCUCUUUGCCUCUUGAGCGGAGAUUUACCCCUAAAACUUUUAAAGCCAGAGGAUUGCCUUUGCAAUAGGCAAUUACACUUUCUGAUAGAUCUUCAUAUCCAAUUUUAGGCUGUUUUCCUCCGAAGGCAUUCAAACUGAAUAGCUGAAGAGAAUCAUGAUUGUUCAAUUACAUGACCUCAUAUAUCUCACAUUUACUGAACUGACUAAAUAUGUGCUUAUCUCUAGUUGUCAUAAUGACCCUACUACCCGGUCCCAGCCCAUCAAUUUUUAGGAUAAGAUCUUCUAUUUGCUCUAAGGUUUCUAUGCCAUCUAACACAAUUAAAACUUUAAUUUUACGUGAAAUCCUUCUCUUGGAUAAAGUGGCUUCUAUGUAGGAUGCAUCAGGAUGAAUAUUUUCCUCCUCUAACAAUGAGGAUAAAAGUUUAUUGUAUACAACAUUAUGUCCAUACCUGUUUGAUUCAUCCAUUACAUUGAGAAAGCAACAACCUUCAAAUUGAGAAUAAAUUAUAGCAUAUGAAGCCCUAGCAAGAGUGGUCUUUCCUAUGCCACCCAUGCCCCAUAUUCCAAGGACUCUAACAUCAUUUGAGCCAAUUUUCAGUAUUGACUCAAUUUGGUCAUAAUUUUUCUCAACUCCAACAAGCCCCUUAAUUUCACAUGGGUAACUAAGAUUCAGUUUCCGCAAAACAUAUUUAACAAUGUCCUUAAUGAAGUCCGAUUCGAUCCUAGAAUAUGAAAGAGAGGAAGAAGAUUUUACAAGUCUAACAAAUACAAUAGUAGAAAAGUACAUCUAUAUGAUUAGUAUACAAAAUUUAUAGUCAAUAAGGUGACAGUGGCUUAGUAGAGCAAGAAACAAACAAAAAUUAGAUUUGGGGAAACAAAAUACCAAAGACACAAGGUAAUAAAUGUAUAUUUUCUAUGACUUUGGUAGUUUUCAGAAGGUUGUGUCAACUAUUACUUUGGCCUGUUUAUUUUCAAAAAUUAUUUUUAGUGUUUGUUUUCUAAAAUUUAUGUUCAUUUCCAAUUAAGAAAAUGGAGAUGAAAGACUCAUGUAGUAAAUAGCUGUGCUAUAUUAGAAAACAAAACAUGUAAAUGAUAUGAAAUAGUUUAUUUAUUUUACUUCGAAUUUUUUCGUUUUGUUUACCUGUAAUUUUGAGAGUCCCAACCAACUAAACUAGCUGCCUCAGUGAGUGCAUCUUUCCAUUCCUGUAACUUGUCAUUAUUGCUCUUCAAAUCUCGCUUAUGUUUUGCGAAGGCUUGCUUGUAACUCCCAGUCUGCUUCCUCACAUGUGAUGGAUCUAUGUUGUAAAAAACAGGUAUCACAAUCUGUACCAUAUAUUUCUUGCAUUCAAGAAUCUUUUUGAGCUCAUUCAAGCACCAUUUUGAGGAAGCAUAGUUUUCUGAGAAGAUGACAAUAGACACAUGUGACUCCUCAAUGGCUCUGAUGAGUGCUGGCGAUAUCUUAUCUCCUUUUUGAAG